rnacentral:rRNA from 1 species
GAUGAACGCUGGCGGCGUGCCUAAUACAUGCAAGUCGAGCGAACGGACGAGAAGCUUGCUUCUCUGAUGUUAGCGGCGGACGGGUGAGUAACACGUGGAUAACCUACCUAUAAGACUGGGAUAACUUCGGGAAACCGGAGCUAAUACCGGAUAAUAUUUUGAACCGCAUGGUUCAAAAGUGAAAGACGGUCUUGCUGUCACUUAUAGAUGGAUCCGCGCUGCAUUAGCUAGUUGGUAAGGUAACGGCUUACCAAGGCAACGAUGCAUAGCCGACCUGAGAGGGUGAUAGGCCACACUGGAACGGAGACACGGUCAAGACUACUACGGGAGGCAGCAGUAGGGAAUCGUCCGCAAUGGGCGAAAGCCUGACGGAGCAACGCCGCGUGAGUGAUGAAGGUCUUCGGAUCGUAAAACUCUGUUAUUAGGGAAGAACAUAUGUGUAAGUAACUGUGCACAUCUUGACGGUACCUAAUCAGAAAGCCACGGCUAACUACGUG